AUGUUUCCAUUCAAGUUCAAGAGGAAGCAAUUUCCUGUAAGGCUUAGCUUUGCUAUGACGAUUAACAAGGCUCAAGGACAGACGAUUCCGAUCGUUGGCGUGUACCUACCUAAUCCGGUGUUCUCUCAUGGUCAACUCUAUGUCGCAUUGUCUCGAGCCACCACGAAGAGAAACAUAAAGAUCCUCAUUGAGAAGGAGAAAGAGAAGGAGAAUGGCAAGAAGCAAAGCAGUAAAUCAAAGAAGCGAAAAAGACCUGCCUUGUCCUUACAGACCUCGAUGAAGAACAUCGUCUAUAAGGAAGUCCUUACAGGCUGA
rnacentral:rRNA from 1 species